GUACCUGCACAAUCAAGGUUGUGUGAGAGACAGAAAUGAGACGUGCUCGUGUAACGGCGACGGGGGGGGAUUGAUAAGUAGCAUUAAAAAGUAAACUGUGAGUAAAACCUACCAGCUAACUAGCCAACACAGAAGAGUAAAGUAGAAGCACACCGGAAGUUUGGAAGUCCGGUGUUGUCUUUUCCAGCUGUCUCGGUCCGGUCGUAUGGAAAUAGUGAGAAACACCCCUGGAGAUCAUUCCUACUGAUGACGAGCCUCCCAGUAAAACUGUACUUGGAACCUGGAGCCCAGAGUUGAGUCAUCGAAUAUUCCACCUGGUGGUAGGGUGGUGCAAGUCGCCAGGACUCCCACACACCCACAAAGAGUGCCCACUAUUCCAGAAAACUGUCACCGGACAGUCACAGACAACGCUUGGGGACAACGGACAUUAAAAAGACUGAAAAUGAUCACAGAUAAUAGACUUUAUUGGCUUUUCAUACACUAAAGACUUAUUUCAAAGGGCCCCUUUUCUUUAUAUUUUUAAUCUUUUAAUGAACCUGUUAUUUACAUGCUGUGAAUUACUACCUGCAAGUUCAUUUCACUAAAGGUUUUAAAUUGCAACUUA